rnacentral:tRNA from 1 species
GGGGUUGUGGCUCAUUGGUAGAGUGCUCACCUGGCAUGUGCGAGGCACUGUGUUCAAAUCUCAGCACCACA